rnacentral:lncRNA from 1 species
UAAAUAUAGAGAAAAAUAAAGUUGCAUUGUAUUGCAAUGUAAUACAAUAAUAUUAUAAUAUAUAUCAUGGUGUUACAUAAUAUAUUAUGCAGGAAACUAAGAAACAUUCAUUGGGCAUGACAAAAUAAUGAUAAACUAAAGACAAUGCACCAUCCAAACUGGACUUUUGUGUAUGUUUUUAUGUCGGUGGUCUUCACGAUGUUAGACAUGCAAAUGUGCUCAUUAUGUUCUUUUUGAGUAGAAUAAAAAUUAUAUAUUAAAUAAUUGUUCAAUUACGAGGUCAUUAGAGAUUGAACAAUCUUACUACUUUGCCUUAUAGUUCAUAUGACAUGUAUCUUCUCAAGAUAUUUGGUUUGCAACUCAUUUACAAGGCAUAUGUUGCAAUGAUAAAUUAUUUUAUGUCUUAUGUUCGUGAUUUUAGUGUCAAUAAUCAUAUGGUGUAACCAUUUGUUCUUCCAGAAUGACUACAAAGCUUCCAACAGUUUCCAAGCAAAUUUUGGUUAACUUUUCAUUCACUUUCCACAUUUUCCCUGAACAAUCUGCAAUUAGUCAAAUAAAAACCACUUUUACAAUGCUUAUAAAUGAAUUGAAAAUGAUAAGAAAGCUGCAAUUAGUCAAUUAAAACCCAACUUUUAAAUUCUUAUAAAUGAAUUGAAAAUGAUAGGAAAUACUAGAAAAUACCAUACGUUUACAACCCUUGUAAAGUGUUAAAUACUAAAUAUCACAUAAACUAAAUAUGCAUAAACUAGCUUCUAAAAAUGGAGUAAAGAGGGGUAGUAAUGGAAUCAGUAGCAUGAUUAUGCUUAAAAGCUAAAACUUAGAAGUUUGAAGUAGAACUUACAUUUACUGAUUUAAAGAAGCAGUGAUGAGUAGAAGACUGGGAAAGUGUAUGCCCAGUUGCUUUACUUGCUUUUAGUCUAUACCAAGAAUCAAUAUUUAUAGUUCGAUCUGCAGUUCGAAUGAGCAAAUCGAAUGUGAAAUCAGAAAUCGCAAAUUAGGAAGGAUCGAUAGGAGUACUUAGUGAACUUUGAGUACCUUGCAAUCCCGCAACAGAAGCUAGAAGAUAGAUCGAUGUCGUAAAUCGUAAUCGGGCAAGCAGAAGCAAAUAUAAAUGAUCGAUUGAGGCGUAUAGGAGAGACGAGAUGUGGGAACGGCGUGUGAAACAGUGAAAGGUUGAGGAUUGUUGGGUGAAAAUUUGAAAUGAACGUGACCCUAGC